CUGGCUCAGGAUGAACGCUAGCUACAGGCUUAACACAUGCAAGUCGAGGGCAGCAUGAGAUUAGCUUGCUAAUCUUGAUGGCGACCGGCGCACGGGUGCGUAACACGUAUCCCAAUCUACCCAUGGCUCGGGGAUAGCCUUUCGAAAGAAAGAUUAAUACCCGGAUGGUCUGCGAUUGAGACAUCUCGAUUGCAGUAAAGACUUGUCGGCGAUGGAUGGGGAUGCGUCCGAUUAGCUAGUUGGCGGGGUAACGGCCCACCAAGGCGACGAUCGGUAGGGGUUCUGAGAGGAAGGUCCCCCACACUGGAACUGAGACACGGUCCAGACUCCUACGGGAGGCAGCAGUGAGGAAUAUUGGUCAAGUGGGCGAUGGCCUGAACCAGCCAAGUUAAGCGUGAGGGACGACGGCCCUACGGGUUGUAAACCUCUUUUGUAUGGGAAUAAAGUGAGGCACGUGUGCCUUUUUGUAUGUACCUUACGAAUAAGCAUCGGCUAAUUCCGUGCCAGCCGCAGC
rnacentral:rRNA from 1 species